rnacentral:rRNA from 1 species
UGCCAGCCGCCGCGGUAAUACGGAGGGUGUAAGCGUUAUCCGGAUGCCCUGGGUUUAAAGGGUACGUAGGCGGUCUUGUAAGUCGAUGGUGAAAUCUAGCAGCUCAACUGCUAACGUGCCAUCGAUACUGCUUGACUUGAGUAUAGUCGAGGCGGGCGGAAUUCUACAUGUAGCGGUGAAAUGCAUAGAUAUGUAGAGGAACACCGAUAGCGAAGGCAGCUCACUAGGCUAUUACUGACGCUGAGGUACAAAAGCGUGGGGAGCGAACAGGAUUAGAUA